CUGACUAGAGAACAAACUACCAAUUAACGAGCGAGGAAACAGGGCCAGAGAAUUGGAACAAAAUACAAGGCUGCCUCUGAAAGGAAUAUCUUUGUGCUGAUGUGUCCAUCAAGAGAACAUACACAGAAGUGACACUUGCCAGUAAUUUGCAAGCAGAUGGAACUUCAAUAUGGCAAUAGAGAAAGAAUCAAUUAGACCAGAGUCUCCUCAGGAAGACUUUCUAUAGGUGGACGGUCCCCUGGAGAGCCCGCUGUGUUGGAAGAUGUAGAAUAUUCAUAUAUCUGGUGAGCAUCUGCUAGAUGCCAGGGUUGGGGAGAGUCAAGUUGAAGCAAGCAUGAACCCUCAAGGACCUACCAUUUCAAGGCAAGAAAUAGAUACAAAUACAGCGUAAUUAUCUCUCCAAUUAAAGAGCAACCAAGGGACAACUGAACUGGAGGUUCUGCAGAAUUACAACUAAGCACGCAGCCGAGGAAUCUACUCAGCUUUGAUCUCUUAUCGCUCUGCACACACAGCCCUUUCUCUGUAAGGCUAGCUGCUCUCAGCAUCACUGUGUCUAAUCAAACGUGUCACACCUCCACUGAGAAAAUAUUUACUGGAUAGCUACUAGACAUAAGGAUGCAGAAAUGAAUUAGAAAAAUUCCUCGCCCUUGUUCAAAGCUAUGCUGGCUCUUAGAACAUCUGAGCCCCCACUGUUUCAUCUUUAGAGGAUCCCAGCUGCUGGGGUGUGAGGCCAGUGCUGGAGCCAGCAGUCUCUGACCCAGAAGGGACCUGAGGUGCUAAAGAAAAUGUCACAGAUGGAGUCCAAAAACAAAAUAACGGCCUGCUCCAUUCUGAUUCAAGUUCUCAUUUGCCUGUGCCCUGCUUUCCCAAGAGCCUAGUGACUGAUUGCAGACCCUUGAUUUCUGUGAGCUUAGACUAAUAGGUAUUGCAGGCAUACAUUCUGGGCUGAAGAUAACCAGAAAGCCAGCAACCUGAUGGGAGGAACAUUCAUUGCACAAGCUGAGAGUGAAAUGAGCUUCUACAUCAGGAUAUUUAACACAGACACAGAGAGGACGGUGCCACUGGAAGUCAUGCAGCCGCAAGUCAAGAAAUGUCAUGAGUGGCUCCUCUCCAGAAACUAGGAGAGGAGCAUGGGGCAGGUUUUCUCCUAGUGCCUUCAGAGACACAUGGCCCUGCCGACACCUUGAGUUUGGAUUUUUGGCCUCCAGAACUGGGUACAAGCUGGAAAAGGGGAAAAUGAAUCAUGCUACAGGCCAAGUGUCCAUCACUGAUUCCCAGAGAUGCCCUUUGUGUGGUAGGCACUUCCAUGUGGACUCGCUACAGAGGUCAUAAGACCCUAAUUCCAGAGGGCCCUACCCUAUAACCAGAAGGAAGAACUAUUGCACAGAGAAUCUAAGAAGAAUCUAGACAGACAGCCCUUGCUGGAUUUCUCCACUCUGUUAGCAUUCGAUCAUUUGCCUUUUGUCCAGUCAUAUUUCUGCAUGGCUGUCCAUACUUUGUUGAACCUAAGCACAAAAUGGAAAGUUUUCCCUGUAUCUUUGGGUCGUCAU
rnacentral:lncRNA from 1 species